CUGGGAUUUUGCGAGGACUUAUCAUACGUAAUUUAUUGAUAUUUUUAAUCGAUUUGAUAUGUAGAGGUAGAUAGAAAACAUGCAAUUAUUGGGUUUUUGACGUAAGGUUUAGGCUUGAUUCGUAUUUGUGAGCCCAUAUUGUAUGGGCCACUAAGUAUGUAACUACCAUCUUUAGUGAAACAAUUAUUUAUUGGCCAACUUUGAUUCUGACUACUUCAGGACUGGACCGAAUCUAGUUGGUCCCCUUCAUUUGACAGCUCCAUCUACCUGCCACUUCGGAUCCUUAAAUAAAUCAUCACGAAAUACACAAAUUUUAUAUAUUUUUUUAAUUACACAAUUACCUAAUAUGGUUGAUGUUCUAUCCCUAUUCUUUGCAAAGAAAUAAAAAUUUCUAGAUUAUAAAUUCUUUUUUUAAUUGGUUAAGAAUGUAAACACACGAGAGACAGGGAAGACACAUCGUUAAAUUUUAAUUUAUGUGUCUAUUUUAUAAUGAUAUAAAUAUAAAACACAAUAUUUGAGGUCAUCGUCGCCAAGAUAUGAAAUAGGUAUAUAUAGAAAUCAUGUGUAAAUAUUCAUG
rnacentral:misc_RNA from 1 species